AACUCUUGAAGUACUUAUUUUUCCAUGGAGUGAAAAGGGUUUCUGUUGAUGAAGAAAGUGAUUGAUAAUGCAGAGUCAUUUUCAUUUGAAACCAAAAUAAACAAACAAAAACACUGCCAGACGCUCUAUUUCUCUCUUUUCCUUUUUGUUGGCAGUCAUCCUUUCAUCAUUAUCAUGUAAUUUGUUUGGGAGCUGUGAAGAGGAUUGAAAAGAACAUUGUUCUCCAAGAAUAAUAUUUGUCUUUCUUAUAGAUUUUCAAAAAACUGCAUGUCUGUGUAUGUAUAUUAAUCGGAACGGUAGUCAACCCACUUUUUCUUCUUUUCAAUUUUGCAUUUACAUGUGGAUAACGUUGCACCAACUCCAAAAUGAACGGAGAUAAGCUAUGAAGCCAACAUGCCACUGAGAUAUGCCCAAUGAAUUUACAGAAAGUUAUCAGGAAAGAAGGAACAGUCUAAUCCUCUAUCCAUGUAGCACAGAGAAAAGGUAACAAUUCAGAGCCCUGAUUUGUCAUCGGAGACUUACUGAGGAGUGUUAUGGGUUGAAACGUGUCCCCCAGAAGAUGUGCUGGAGUCCUAGCCCCCGUACUUGUGAAUGGGACCUUAUCUGGAAACACGGUCUUGGAAGAUACAAACAAGAUAAGGUCAUUAGGGUACGUCCUAACCCUACAACACUGGUGCCCUUAGAAAUGGCAGAGACCCAGGGAGGCGGACAUGGACAGAGGAAAGACAAUGUGAAACCUCACAGAGCAGAAACACGUGAUAACAAUGCAGAGGUUGGAGCGAUACAUCUGCAAACUCAGAACCACCAAGGGUUGAUGGCAACACCAGAGCCUCAGAGAACGGCACUGAAUAGAUUCUCCCCUGCAGCCUUCAGAGACAGCAUGACCCUGCCGACAACUUGACCUUUGAACCUCUAGCCUCCAGGAAUGUGAGAAUAAAUUGCUAUUGCUUUAAGCCACCUGGUUGGUGGUGCUUUGUUAUGGCAACAUCUAGAAACAAACACAGGCUCUGUCCUCAGAAGCAGCACCUAAAGGAAGUUAUUGGAAAACUGGGCAGAGGGAGAAGAAACUGAUACAGUUACGAUGGGACCUCAGCUGAUCCCAGAGGAACCCCAGCUGAUCCCAGAGGAACCCUGCAGCUGCCGUGGCCCUCAAAGUUGUCCCCAGCUGAGGCCACGGCUGGGCCUUUGGACUCCUGCACAGACCAGUCACUGAAUGCGGGCCACCCCAGGAUGCCACCUUCCAGCCAAGGAUGACGCCCAGAGGGAGACUCGGCUGUGAGCCCUCAACCCACACUGCCCGCAGCUGGGGGCAAUGAGGGCCUCCACCCGGAAAGGAGGAUCUGCACUGGCCACAAUGUUUACUACUCCCUUGUACACACAGGUGAAUAUGUAGGACAGAUUCCAACAUUAGUAACAUUGUUUGCUCAAAAAAUGUGUCUGUAAGCUGGAUAGACAUUGCCAAGCUGCUCCCACUGAAGUUAUUCCUACCCCCGUCACCAGCGUACGUGAACACCUAUGGUCCCCCAUCCAUCAUUCUUUAAGCUGUAGCCAGAUACACGACAGUAUUUUAAUUGAUACUGCCAAGUUAUUAAUACAGUUAAUACGGUUGACUGCUUCUGCAAUAUAAUUAUUGGCCACCUCUUUUCUUCUGUGAAGUUUUUAGGCGUCUUUUUGCACAUUUCUUAUUGAGAUUUUUUUAAUGAUGCUAAAUAUGUUUUCAAGUCUUUGCAGGCAU